rnacentral:lncRNA from 1 species
GAAUUGGUUGCAAAGCUCUGUUACAGACAGGAUAAGAGCUAUAUCUGGCUUGUUUUUUUUGUUUGUUUGUUUUAAGUAGCAGUGCAUUCUGGCUUAGAGUGUUGACCUGAUUUUAUCUGGUUUGGGGGUGGCCUGGGAACCAGGAUCAGCAGUUUGACUCAGGAGUAUGUGAUACUUAAGCCAGAGGAGUAGUUAUUCAAAGGAACCUCAAGGCAAAUUAUAGCUUUUUAUCGGUAAGGUAGAGCCUUACCGUGGUUCAUCCAACCCAGGGUUCUGUUUUUGAGGGUAGCCUCAGAUGGUGAUUGGCUCUCAUUAAUAAUUUUUAUGCUUCAUGGUCUAAAUCCUUUAUUUUGUCUCAAAGUAGUAUACCAUUAAAUGGACUUGUUCUUUUCAAUUACUUUAGAGCCCAACUGCAUUAACCUG